GCCUGAUAGGCUCCAUUGGUAGAGCAUGUGGCUCUUAAUCUUGGGGUUGUGAGUUCAAGCCCCACAUUGGGCG
rnacentral:tRNA from 1 species